rnacentral:rRNA from 1 species
CCCUUAGAUGUUCUGGGCAGCACGCGCGCUACAAUGGUCUUCGCAAACGGAUGCAUUCUCGAAGGAGAAUGCCAAUCUUGGAAUCUAUGCCUUGGUCGGGACAGUUGCUUGCAAUUUUUCGACUCGAACCAGGAAUUCCUUGUAAUCGUGAUUCAUCACAUCACGAUGAAUACGUCCCUGCCCUUUGUACACACCGCCCGUCGCUCCAACCGAUCGAAGAGUUAGGUGAAUUGUUUUGAUCGAUAAGAUUUGACUAUGGUCAACUCUCGUUGUGAAAUUCUGUGAAUCUGACUGUUUAGAGGAAGGAAAAGUCGUAACA